rnacentral:rRNA from 1 species
CCCUGCCAUUUGUACACACCGCCCGUCGCUCCUACCGAUUGAAUGUUCCGGUGAACACUCGGGAAUCGUGAUCUUGUUCAUGGCAACAUGUCGAGAUCAAUCGGUGAACUUGUGUAAACCUUAACAUUUAGAGGAAGGAGAAGUCGUAACAAG